GACGAAGGGGGCUAGCGUUGUUCGGAAUUACUUGGCGUAAAGCGCGUGUAGGCGGUUGUUCAAGUCAGGUGUGAAAGCCUUGAGCUCAACUCAAGAAAUGCACUUGAUACUGGAUGACUAGAGGACCGGAGAGGAUAGUGGAAUUCCCAGUGUAGUGGUGAAAUACGUAGAGAUUGGGAAGAACACCAGUGGCGAAGGCGGCUAUCUGGACGGUUUCUGACGCUAAGACGCGAAAGCGUGGGGAGCAAACAGG
rnacentral:rRNA from 1 species